UACAGAGGUCCCGAGCGUUGUUCGGAUUCACUGGGCGUAAAGGGUGCGUAGGUGGUGAGGAAAGUCGGAUGUGAAAGCUCGGAGCUCAACUCCGAAAUGGCAUUGGAAACUACCUUGCUCGAGGGUUGGAGGGGGGACUGGAAUUCUCGGUGUAGCAGUGAAAUGCGUAGAUAUCGAGAGGAACACCAGUGGCGAAGGCGGGUCUCUGGACAGUUCCUGACACUGAGGCACGAAGGCCAGGGGAGCAAACGGG
rnacentral:rRNA from 1 species